ACCGCUCCGCCAUUGCCCGUAGGCAUAAUUGUCUGCACUGAGCCUUUACCAAAGGAUUUAGUUCCCAUAAUAAUUGCGCGUUUAUGAUCCUGUAAAGCACCGGCAACGAUUUCUGAGGCAGAAGCAGAACCCGCAUUAAUCAAAACAACAAUAGGCGCUCCAUCUAAUAAAUCACCAGGUGUUGCAUUAAAUUCCAUCUGCGAGUCUUUAAUACGUCCUUCUGUAUAAACGAUUUUACCUGAGUUUAAAAAAGCAUCACUGACUGACACUGCGCCAUCGAGAACUCCACCAGGAUUGUUGCGUAA
rnacentral:ncRNA from 1 species